rnacentral:lncRNA from 1 species
CCUUUUUAAAUUUCUUCAAACUUGAUUCUUCUUCCUCCACUCAUUUAAUUAUUCAACCCUAAAAUCUCUCUGUUACUCUCUAAAAUAAUACAGCCCAAUUAAAUGAUUAAAAUCGAAAAAUCAAUUUUAAUAAAUAAAAACCAAUACGAAAGAGAAAAGAACAGAAAAAGCCCACCAUCAUUAGUCCCUCGGGAGAAAAAAAAUGGAAAACAGAUAAAGAAACAGAAGAUUAUCAUCAAUAAAGCAUCAAAAUCUUCCAUAGCACCAUCCCAAAGCUCCUCCACAGCUCCACCAGCCCUUUUUCUUACAUUUUUUUCUUAUUUUGUACAAUUUAGCAAAGAAAUCCUUUUUUUUUUAUUGGUAUCAUUUUGUCAAACCCUAGACUUGUUCUGUUAUUUCAAGAAAACCCAAGAAACUCUUUAGAUUAGCCACAAUACAGGGGAUUUCUCAUCUGGGUGUUUUUCAAAUUUUCAAGAUUUUGAGAGUUUAAUGUCACAGAUGAAGUACAUUGAUAACACACCAUCAACUCUAGGUAAGUUUAAGAUGGAGAAGUCCCCAUACAAUAAUAGGCUGAGGAUGCAUUUAUCUCUAGCCAAGAUCACCUUCUGGUCUUUUGUUUUCCUUGGCUUGAUCUUUGUGUUUUUUUAUAGAUCACCUUCUUCUUCCUCUCCUGUCACGUCAGAUCUCAAUAGGAGGUCCCUCAGAACCAACUCUUA